rnacentral:rRNA from 1 species
GACGAACCGUGCGAACGUUGUUCGGAGUCACUGGGCUUAAAGGGCGCGUAGGCGGGCUGCCAAGUCAGGGGCGAAAGCCCACGGCUCAACCGUGGAAGUGCCUUUGAUACUGGCGGCCUUGAGGGAGGUAGGGGCGUGCGGAACUUCCGGUGGAGCGGUGAAAUGCGUAGAUAUCGGAAGGAACACCGGUGGCGAAAGCGGCGCGCUGGACCUCUUCUGACGCUGAGGCGCGAAAGCUAGGGGAGCAAACGGG